ACGAACGCUGGCGGCGUGCUCAACACAUGCAAGUCGAACGGAAAGGCCCUGCUUUUGUGGGGUGCUCGAGUGGCGAACGGGUGAUUAACACGUGAGUAACCUGCCCCUGACUUUGGGAUAACUUCAGGUAACUGGGGCUAAUACCGGAUAGGAACUCCUGCUGCAUGGUGGGGGAUGGAAAGUUUCGGCGGUUGGGGAUGGAAUCGCGGCUUAUCAGCUUGUUGGUGGGGUAGUGGCUUACCAAGGCUUUGAAGGGUAGCCGGCCUGAGAGGGUGACCGGCCACAUUGGGACUGAGAUGCGGCCCAGACUGCAACGGGAGGCAGCGGUGGGGAAUAUUGCACAAUGGGCGGAAGCCUGAUGCAGCAACGCCGCGUGCGGGAUGACGGCCUUCGGGUUGUAAACCGCUUUCGCCUGUGACGAAGCGUGAGUGACGGUAAUGGGUAAAGAAGCACCGGCUAACUACGUG
rnacentral:rRNA from 1 species